UGAAUGAGACAUAAACGUCUCCCACACAUGUGAUAAACAUUCUGAAGUGAGAUACUAUAAUGGGUCAUUUCAAGUCCUGACACUCAGAGUCUGCAUCUGUUCUGACUGCACUGUUUGAUGCCCACUGGCAGAGCCAAGCUGUGAACACACUGACUCUACAUUGAAGAAUAGUAUUGGGGAGAUGACAGCAGUCCAUGCUGUGAGCAGAGGUGAUGACGAGUGUCCUCUGUUAAUGGUCUGGAUCCUUCCUCCUUGGUCAAACAUCAUAGCGGAAGUCAGCCUUGAAAUCUGGGAGACAGCCAGCUUACCCUCCAUCUCUCCACCACCAUCUCUCCAUCAAACCGUCACAGCACAGGAAAUAAGCGUUUCCUCGAGCUGGGGUGGGCUGGAGCUCGCCUCGUAUCAGGAUUAUCUAUCCCCAUCUUCGGUGAUGCCCAAUUAGUCGGAGAGCUGAUAAAACCAAGCACCUCUCACAAUGCUGGCUUAGAAGUCUACAUCUGUGCUUCACGUGUAGGCACCAGGUUUGAAACUCAAGACAGAUCAUAGUGGGGGUUUACUGAACUGAUAUGACAUGAGAAGUAUGUUUAUGAACAAACAAAUGAAGUGACUAAAUCCCAAUCACUGCAUUUUUCUGUACAUUUUAGGGAACCUUGUUAAAAGGGGCACAAGUUGUGCUUCCUUUUCUGUUUUGAUGGAUCCAUUGAGGUUAUAUCACUGGUUCAGAGAUGAAAGAUAGAGAUAGAGAGAGCGAGAGAGAGAGAGAGUUCAAAUCCCAUGUUCCACACAUUCAACCAAAACCAUUGUUCAGACAGUGAAAACAUCAGCCCCACCUCAGCAUUGGUUUUAUUCUCAAUUUGUUUCUAUUCUGUUAUUAAUAUGCGGUUAAUAAAUGAGAUAAGGCCAUGGACCUUAUCUCAUUUAGUUCGUAUUGAGAUUGCAUGGCUAACGAAUAAUAAU